rnacentral:pre_miRNA from 1 species
AGUGCAAGAUAUUGGCAUUUUCUGCGUGACUUUAAUGGGUGAAUUCUAAAAUUAAGGCACGCGGUGAAUGCCAAACUUGCAGCU